GGCGGACGGGUGAGUAACGCGUAGGAAUCUACCCAGUAGCGGGGGAUAGCCCGGGGAAACCCGGAUUAAUACCGCAUAAGCCCUACGGGGGAAAGGUGGCCUCUUCUUGAAAGCUACCGCUAUUGGAGGAGCCUGCGUCGGAUUAGCUAGUUGGUGGGGUAAAGGCCUACCAAGGCAACGAUCCGUAGCUGGUCUGAGAGGACGAUCAGCCACACUGGGACUGAGACACGGCCCAGACUCCUGCGGGAGGCAGCAGUGGGGAAUAUUGGACAAUGGGCGCAAGCCUGAUCCAGCCAUGCCGCGUGUGUGAAGAAGGCUUUCGGGUUGUAAAGCACUUUCAGGAGUGAAGAAAAGCGUGGGGUGAAUAAUCUCGCGUCUUGACGUCAGCUCCAGAAGAAGCACCGGCUAACUCCGUGCCAGCAGCCGCGGUAAUACGGAGGGUGCGAACGUUAAUCGGAAUUACUGGGCGUAAAGCGCGCGUAGGCGGUUUGUUAAGUCAGAUGUGAAAGCCCCGGGCUCAACCCGGGAAUUGCAUUUGAGACUGGCAGGCUA
rnacentral:rRNA from 1 species